AACAGAGUAAAUGAUUAACGUUAAGUGCUUCCGGAUGGGAUGUUGCCGGUAGACGAAGUGGCUAUCACGCGGUUGAUCAUUGCCUCCGCUGUU
rnacentral:ncRNA from 2 species